CCCAUAGAAAGAAAUGUAAAGGGAUCUGUAAUAGGAAAAAUAACCCCAAAAACCAAAGUCACGUAGUAACAGACGGCAAUGAGGCCAAGCAGACCAUUAUGUUGGCUGUCUGGAAUAGGUCUGAUGAUUAUGCUGACAGAAAUAAUAGAAGGUAAAGAACCUGUGCACAGGUGUGUGAAGUACAAAUCUUCUCGGUCAACAGUCAGGAUAUACGAUUUUCAAUCCAUGAUAGGAACAAUAAUCACUAGACUUCCUGGAAAAAACUAUUAUGACAGAAACUUGAAAUGUCAAUGGUAUAUAGAUGCAGGGGCCUUUGGACGAGUGAAGCUGUCAUUUGUUGGUGUGGACUUACUUCCAAACUCAUGGGAUGAAAAGUGUAGUGAUCAUGACUAUCUUACCAUUAAAAAUAGCCUGGGUCGAUAUGCCAGUCAUAUAUGUCCAAAUUACCAUGCAGAACAAUUUAUCAGUUUUGGACGAGGGACAUACAUUGAUUUUCAUUCAGACAAAAGAAAAGACAAGUUUCGUCACAAAGGAAUUGAAAUAAGAUAUGAAAUGUUUGAUCCAGAUAACCAGGAUUGUCCACCAGGCUGGGUCCGUGGUCCAGAAAAUAACGAUGGUGUCAGUAGCUGCUUUCAUGUGAUGAGGGCACCUGGCAGUAGAGUGGACUUUGAAUCUGCACAGAAAUUCUGUGGCUUUAGCAAUGCAAACCUUGUCAAGAUUGAAUCCGCAGCCGUGUAUGACUUCAUAAAACGACUGAUGUAUAGAUCUAGAAAUGUGACUUACUUUUGGAUUGGUUUAAAUGAUAUAAAAGAAGAGGGAACCUUUGAAUGGAUAGACCGUAGUCCACUGAUGUUCUACAACAGAAAAGAAGGUAAUAGUGAAACAAAAAACUGUGUGGUCCAGGAGGUAGCUACAGGACUCUGGAUUCCUGUUUCUUGUCAGCUGAAACACUUUUACGUUUGUGAGAUUGCUUCAAUGUAUGAUGCGUCUGUCUACAGAGUUCCAAAACGUCCAGCGAAAGUUGAUAAGUUUGAAGAAGUCUCGAAUAUAAUAAAGAUUGUAGCAGGUGUUGGUGGUUCGCUAGUACUAGUCUUCCUCUGUUGCUGUUGUUGCUACUACUGCUGCUGUCGAGAGUCAAGUUCGGACAAAAACAAUCAAACCACAGGUCAAAGUGGAGGUCAAACAGCCACACAAAACUCUAUUCCUCCGCUACCGACGGUUGAGAAUCAAGCUGCAACCCAGAACUUCAUUCCUCCACCUCCCUUAGAACCUACAGCACCUACUUUUAGUGAAUUACAGCCAAUGGCACCGCAGAGUUAUAACAGAUAUACUGAUGGCCUUCCAUCAUAUGAGGAGUGUAUGGGUCUCCAGGAGAGAGGAUCAUAGAAUGUGAUGUGAUUUUAUCAAAAAUCAGCUCAAGGCAAAUGGUGUAUCAGAAGACAGAUGUAUCAGAUCAAAAACUAUCUCAUCAAUAUGUCUUAAACAGUGUAGUCUAUAGAAUUAUUACCAAAGCAAUGAUGAUGUGACUUUCAUGGGUUGGUAUCAAUGACUAAGUGUCUCUUAAUUCAUGCAUGACUUAAUUUAGAAUUUUGGGAAUACUACCAAUUGUGGAAAGGGGGAAUAUUUUAGCCUAUUUUGAGAAAUUGAGAAAUUUUGGACAUCUCAUAUGAUCAGAAUUCAAAAGUGGGAUAGUGUUAAAAUGAUGGCUUGUUCUGAAAGUAAAAAAUACUAAUUAGCUCUGUUUUAGAGAAAAUUUCAUAAUUUUUAAGAAAUUUUUUGUGUUUUCAGUUUUGAUAGGGAAUUUGUUUAUAUCCAGAGGGGAAAGCAUAUCACUGGGGAAAUACUACCUUUUUCUAGAAGUGAAAUUUGUCCAGAUUAAUAUCUGUCAUGGCCUCUUAAUUGUCAAUAAGACUUAAAAAGAUAUUUUUACAUUUCUUAAACGAGAGAGAAACAACUCAAGUAAUAGAUUCUUAAAUGCCCAUUCAAAGGCUAUCUUACCUGAAAAUUGGAAUUUUCAGUGUAAUCUGGAAGUUGGAGAAUGAUUAUUUUCUGACACUCCUGUGUUGAAAUUUUCAUUUGAGGCAGUCAUCUAAACCUACUACAAAUAUUAUGUACAUAAAAAUGGUAUAUGUAUAUCCUGUCUUUAAUAUAUCUAGACAUUUCACUCUGAUAAUCAUAAUCGAUCACAGGAUACAGAUUUGAUAAAGACGUUGACAUUUUGAAAAUCAUAUAAAUGAAAAUUUUUCGAUGAAAACUGCCAUUUUCAAACAUUUUCAUUUAAGAAACAGUAGGCUUGCCAGAUCAUCACAAUUUUAUUGGUCAAAAGUCUUAAAUAGAAAUCAUAUACAUGUUUGUAUACAUUCUAUAUAUAGCCUUUGAAAAAUAAUAGUGUCUCAGGAAUCAUAUUUUUCAUGACUAUUCUUAAAGUUUUCUCUGCCUUUUUCAUCCUGUAGUUGAUAUGAUCAUCAUCUUUUGGAAAUAUUUUAGUGGAAAUAUUUCAGUAUUACCAUGCAAGUAUGUAUGGAAUGUUUGCUGAUUUUUCAACACUUACAUUGACAAACAAGACUUAUAUUGUGUUGUGACGGUCAUGAUUUCAUUUGAUCAGAAAAAAAGUCAUUUCCAUGGAAAACAGUAUUCAGAGUAAAUAUAAUUCAAUAUCAAAAAACUUGAUAAAUGUAAAUUUGUAAUAUAAAUCCAAGAUUUUUAAUCUCGCUUAUUGUACAGGGAGACAACUCAACGAGAAAUCAUAUUCUAAACAAUAUUUUUAAUAGGGAAAUAUUUUUGAAGUUUAUUUUAUUCAAAUUAGUUCAGGACUUUGCAGUCUGAAGGGAAAUUAGAUAGCCAUAAUAUAGAAUGUGUGUUGUCACAAUUAGAGGUCACAACCUUUACCAUUGGAUAAAAAAUAUUCUGAUGUUUUUUAACAUUUUGUUAUUCUAUAUUUUCUGAAGCUUUUCCAUCAUUUGCCUAUUUUUGCUUUCCUAUCCCACCUGUUAAUUGUUUCUCAGAGGUUUUUAUGCCCCUCUCAUUUCACAGUAGUAAUCAUAUAGUGUUAUCCUAUCAUUGUUUUCUUUCCACUCAUUUAAUUUUUAACAGAUACAGACAUAGAACUCUAAUUUGGGAUGAAGUUGUAUAAAGGUAAUAUACAGGUCAAGUUCUGAUUUGGUUGUAGUGAAUGUUUCCCAAAAUAAUGGCCAUUUAACUUAAGAAUUGUGAAUUUUUUUUUAUGAAAACAGUAAGAUCAAAACUGUAUAGUCUUGCCUAGCUCUAGUGUGAAUUCAUGAAAACCAAUAAUAAAGAAAAACAUCUUGAGAUGGAUGCACAUCAUACAAGCAUUUUUAAUUUACAUUCAGGAACACAUAAAGGUAGAACCACCUGCCCACCACCUGUAAAACUAAUUACUGGUUAUAUGUUUACCUGUGUGUCAUGCAUAUGGUUCUGUUUAAGCUACGUGUUGUAUCAUGAAUAUUUGAUUACUGAUCUACAUCAAAUUAUACAGUUAUAUGCUUUUUUUUAGGAAAUCCAAAGGUUGUUCACUGUAAAAAUGACCAUGUCUUGGAAUUUUUGCUAUCUUUCCCAAAGAGCCAGGUGAGCUUUCGCCAUGGUAAGGUGUCCAUCUGUCUGUUACCUGUCCAUUGUUUCAAUAAUGAAAAGGUCAUCCAUCACCAUAUUUGGCUGGUAGUUGGUAGAGAAUUGACCUUGACUAAUAUUCAAGAUCACAAAAGUCAAAUUUGUUAAAAACUUAAAACAACUUUUCAAUACCAAAAGGCUUAGAAUCCUGAUAAUUUGUCAGUAGGUGCCUUUGAUGACCUUUUUUGACCUUGACAUAUAUUAAAGAAGGUCUGUAAUAGCAAUAUUUGGAUGAUUGGUUCUAGCUCAUCAUAGUUUUUGGAAAGAAAAGAGCUUGAACCAUAUUUGAGUUCAUGGGGUCAGACUUGUCAAUACCUUCAAACAUCUUCUCUGUAAUCAAGACAUGGAAUAUCAAUGAUAUGAUAUAUUAAUGUGAAAAUCAUUAAAUACUGUGUGAGCAAUGCAGGCCCAUUAGGCCAUUUGUUAAUUAGGCUAUAUCAAGCUUGGGAAGCUGCUAGAUUUCGAUUAGCCAGUAUUUUUCAGGCUGAUUGAGUGAUAUUGACGAAAUUCAAUCAUAAUGUUUUUGAAGUUGAAAUUGGCAUUUCAACUAUGCUUCAUUUUAUCAGCAAAGCUUUGUUAAGAGGAAAAGGACUUUUGUUUAUAGUAGUAUAUUUGAAUGUUGUUCCUGCCCCAUUACUAGCCAUUCCUAGAUAUCUUGCCUUGUUUUAAUUAGCUUAUUGUCUUGUUAUUUCAUUUAAAGGUGCUUUACAUUGUUUUAGUUUUUUUUUUUAUUUUAAAACAACAAUAUAUUAUGUUAUAGAACAUUUUUUGUUAUAGAUGUUUAUCUAUUGUGUAUUUUAUAUGUACGUUUAAAGAUAAGUUUUAUUUAAUCAAAGUGUUCAAUGGCCUGUCCCACUUAAGAGGACGGAAACAGCGGUAACUGUUUUAACUGAGUGGGUAAAAAUAUUUUUGUUAAUUUGUUUCAUGCCUUAAUCCUGACUGCUGAACAGUCAAUAGUCAAAACUUUUUCCCCAUCUUAUAUAGGAGACAGGAAAGAUACAGUGCAUAUAUAUUUUAUCAUAUUUUUUUAAGUGAAAGAAACAAUACAUGCAGUCACACAUAGCAGUUUUAUUAAUGGGCUGAAGACAAUUGCUUAUAAUUGAACUCUGAUGGAAUAUCAUACAUUCAGAAGCAAUAUGAGGUUACUGUAUAAUGGUAUUCUGUCUGGAACACCAUACUGAUACUUUUAUCUUGAUUUCAACCCCUACUAAGGUGUUGGGACCUACCUGAUGUACGGUUUAGCACAUUCCCGAGGGAAACAGAUCAGGUCCGUCCCGACACUCUUUGGAAAAAAAUUUUCUUUGUUGACUGAUAUUUUAUUCAUGAAACAAUUUUUGUUAACCAAAAAAUCUGAUGUUUUCUUUAGGAUUGACAGAAGCAGCCAUCAUGGUCAAUGUCUUCUGCAAUCACAAUCAGAAAGAUUUCUCAUAACCUUAUAUAAGAAUGGGUAUAUUUUGAUGUUUUGUGCCACAAUGGACAACUGUCAAAAAUAUUUAUGGGUCAAUAGUUUUGACUGGUGGUAGGCUUACUGGUAUUAUGAUUUAUAGGAAUUUUCCAGCCAGUGAAAUGCUGUCAUAUAACAAUAUUAUACACAUGCCAUUGUAUUGUGUUCCUGCUUUCAGGUUUUGUCUAGCUCACCAGACUGGUCAAGUGAGUUUAUGCCGUGGUUCGCCAUCUGUCGUCCGUCUGGCAUCAACUUUUCCAUUUAAACCACUUCUUCUCAGUAACCAAUAUACCAAAUGUUAUGGUAAUUGGCUGGUUGAUUGCUGGGAUGAAGUAAAACAAAUUUUUGUGAAAAGAAAUGAUCCUGACUCAUGUUCAAGGUCUCUGGAGUCAAAUUUGUUGAAACCUUUCAAAGACUUCUUCUGACUAACCAAAAGACACCGAAGCAUGGUAUUUAGCUGAUACUUUCUUAGGAUGAAGCCAAACAAAGUUUCCAAAAAUAAAUGGCCUUGACCAAUAUUCUAGGUUAUAGGGAUUGAAUUUGUUGAAACCUUUAAACAGCUUCUUCUAACUAACCAAAAGAUGCAGAAGCGUGGUAUUUGGCUUAUAUGUUCCUAGAAUGAAGCAACAAAACAAAAAUUGUGGCAGUAAUUAACUUUGACCUAUAUUGAAGGUCAUAGGAGUCAAAUUGUUUAAAACCUUAUAUUAAGUUCUUUUGACCACUAAAAAGGCACAGAAGCAUGAUAUUUGCUUUAUAGGUUUCAAGAUUGAAAUCUGCAAAUUUGCAUAAAAGAAAUGACCUUGACCCAUAUUCAAGAUCAUGGGGGUCAAAUCAAAUUCAAAAUCUCUAAAUGACUUCCUUUGGUAAACCAAAAGUCUGAAAAGCAGGGUAUUUUUGUGGAAAAGUUUUUCUGGGUCAAAGGUGCCAAAUUUUGACCAAAAAUCAUGAAAUGACAUUUGUCUAUAAUCCAGGUCAUAGCUGUCACUCUUUAGAGUUGAGUAUUAGUAGCUUAAAGUUAUUGUGGUAAUUGGUUAGAAUUGAUUGGAUGUGCAGACUUUGAAUGUGUGACGAACACUUAAUAUUCUAUUUUUAUGAACAUUGAAUACCAGGUGAGCAAUGCAGGUCGAUUUGGCCUCUUGUUCAAUGUUAUUUACAUAUACACAUGAUUGCACUUAUAUCUGAAUUGUGGCUGUUAUUGAAGUGUGAAGUUAAAAUAACUUGUUAUUAUAUUGGAGUUUUAAUAAGAGGGACUUCCUAUAAAUUUACACAAUGUCAAUUGUUAUAAUAGAACUGAAAGUUAAUAAAGCACAUGUCCAAAAACACAAAAAUGGUACAAAUUUGUACUCUGCUUUAUAAAACUGUCUAUAUUGGAGCAAUUUUUUAUGACAUGAAGCAUUUUGAUAACAGAAAACAAUUUGAAUUUUUAGAGGAGAGUAAUAAAACUCAACUUCACUACAUGAGGUCAGUUUUUGGAAGCAAAUACAUGCAGUAGAAGGGUGCUUAUUAUAUGAAGGAUUGGUAGAGGAAAGCAACAUUUCAACUGGCUUUUUUAUUGAAAAUAAGGUGAAGGUGGGCUUAUUAGCACAGUUGCAACAAUUAGAUUGGAUAUUUCUGUAAGUCUGGUUAUUUCUGAAGUCCUUGUUUUUUUUAUGUAAAUGCAGAAAUGGCUACAUUAUGGUAUGGUGAUAAUGUUGUUAGAUCUAUUGUGUGCUUCAUCAGAUUCUCAAUGUCAUGGUUUUAAUUUAUGUCCUGAAUAUUUAUCAUUGCUACUUAAAACAUUUGUCCAUGUAUUGAAAACAUCAUAUUGUUAUAAUCAUGUUGUUAUGCUGGUGAACUUAAUUUUUUGUUGAAAUAAGAUGAAAGUAGAGACAAGACGUCUGUCAGAAAUUAUCAGCAGAAUUUAUUAGUAUGUAAAAGCAUGUCAGCUUAUAAAAUUUUGCUGAGACAAUGUAUCUUCUGACAGAUUUGUGGAGUCAUUCUACCUUCGUCUUUUGAUUCCUGUUUUGAACUGGACUUUCUGGACUUCCACAGGAAUGCAUCUGCUGAGGACUGCCAAACAUUGGCAAUAGUUACUAGUACUUAGGAUCUCAAUUUCUUUGUUUUGUUAAAAAAAAUCUGUUGAACUAUGAUAAAAAGUUUGGUAAUACCUGUAAUAUGUGAUUUUAAUACUUGUAUUGUGUAAUCACUUUUUAAACUAAUCCUGUCAUCUAUUUAUCUAGCUAGACUCCAAUGAUUAUUGUCUAGUCUUUAUAUAAAGACAAUGUUUUCAUUUUGAAAUCAUUACCAUGCUGUCAGAAUUUAUUUUUAUUAACAGAUGUUUUUGUUAGACAUUCAGUCGUUGGAUUAUGAUCUCUGGUAUUCCUUAUUAUUUUUUCCUGUGAGAGUAAAAUCAAAUUGAUGUUAAGGAGUUAAAUUCUCAUCAGAUAUAUUUUCUUAAUAUUUUAAGAUUAUACGACCAAUAUUGCUUCAGAAUUAAAUUUGCAUUAAGCAGUUUUCAUUACAGUAGAAGUCUUCUGUGCUUUCAAACUUUUUUGACAGAUAAGAAGAAUGAAAUAAAUGACUGACAGGUUGCCAUUUAGGUGACCUCUCAUCAAGAUGUUAGAAGAGAUAUAACAUUAAUUUCAUAAUCAAUUAAGUUCAUCAGAUCUUCAAAGGUUAUUUUACAUACAUGUAUAUCCAUGUUGGUUUUACUUGUAUUUGUUAACACAAUAGAUGUUAUUUCUUAUUCUGUUACCACAUUACCAGUGUUUAUAUGAAGAAAAAAAUCAUGUAUCUCAUUAUCUGUUCUAAGUGUCAGUGAUGUAUACAGUAUAUACAUUGUCCUGAAUUCCUGUCUGUGUAUAAUUUAUUUGUACAAGGUAGUAUUUUUAAGUGUAUGAUUAUAUAUGUCAAAAAACUUUUUCUCUAUUUUAUUUAAAUGAAAAAUGUUUUAAAUGUUGCAUAAUACUCACCUUUAUCAUUGUUUUGUGUAUAUUAAUAAGUAAAAACAA